UGCAGUCGAGCGAAUGAUGAGGAGCUUGCUCCUCUGAUUUAGCGGCGGACGGGUGAGUAACACGUGGGUAAUCUGCCUGUAAGACGGGGAUAACUCCGGGAAACCGGGGCUAAUACCGGAUAAUAAGAGAAGAAGCAUUUCUUCUUUUUGAAAGUCGGCCUCUCGCUGACACUUACAGAUGAGCCCGCGGCGCAUUAGCUAGUUGGUGAGGUAACGGCUCACCAAGGCGACGAUGCGUAGCCGACCUGAGAGGGUGAUCGGCCACACUGGGACUGAGACACGGCCCAGACUCCUACGGGAGGCAGCAGUAGGGAAUCUUCGGCAAUGGGCGAAAGCCUGACCGAGCAACGCCGCGUGAGCGAUGAAGGCCUUCGGGUCGUAAAGCUCUGUUGUUAGAGAAGAACAAGUACGAGAGUAACUGCUCGUACCUUGACGGUACCUAACCAGAAAGCCACGGCUAACUACGUGCCAGCAGCCGCGGUAAUACGUAGGUGGCAAGCGUUAUCCGGAAUUAUUGGGCGUAAAGCGCGCGCAGGCGGUCUCUUAAGUCUGAUGUGAAAGCCCACGGCUCAACCGUGGAGGGUCAUUGGAAACUGGGAGACUUGAGUGCAGGAGAGAAAAGUGGAAUUCCACGUGUAGCGGUGAAAUGCGUAGAGAUGUGGAGGAACACCAGUGGCGAAGGC
rnacentral:rRNA from 1 species